GACGAACGCUGGCGGCGUGCUUAACACAUGCAAGUCGAACGGUGAAGCGCCUUCCUUUUUGGUGGGUGUGGAUGAGUGGCGAACGGGUGAGUAACACGUGAGUAACCUGCCCCCUUCUUCUGGAUAACCGCAUGAAAGUGUGGCUAAUACGGGAUAUUCUGGGUCUGUCGCAUGAUGGGUCUGGGAAAGAUAUUGUUUCGGUGGGGGAUGGGCUCGCGGCCUAUCAGCUUGUUGGUGGGGUGAUGGCCUACCAAGGCGGUGACGGGUAGCCGGCCUGAGAGGGUGGACGGCCACACUGGGACUGAGACACGGCGCAGACUCCUACGGGAGGCAGCAGGGGGGAAUAUUGCACAAUGGGCGCAAGCCUGAUGCAGCGACGCCGCGGGAGGGAUGGAGGCCUGCGGGUUGUGAACCUCUUUCGCCAGUGAAGCAGGCCUGCCUCGUUUGUGGGUGGGUUGACGGUAGCUGGAGAAGAAGCGCCGGCUAACUACGUG
rnacentral:rRNA from 1 species